CUAUGCUUUAUUUGCAAUUUCAAAUAAUUUAUUGCAGUUCCAGAAUACCUGUAACCGUAUAUCCGUAUUUGUAACUGUGUUUCUUUUCACAUACCUAAGAGUACACUUCACAUCCUAGAACCCAUAGAAAUGUAUAUUUGACAGAACUACACACCCAUCUGAGGCCUACCUGUUUUAAUUCAUGAUCACCCCGGAUACUUCUACAACUAACCCGCUUGGUGUCUGAUGUUGAUGCAGUCUGGGCACUAGUAUAUGUUGGCUUGCUGACUAUCACUGACGAUGAAGUACUUCUCCAAAUCUUGACCCUGUGUCUUCUGCCAUCAUUGUUCAGGGUAGUACUGCAAAGAACAGUCUCCAGGGUCUACCUCCAACAUUUGCUUCCCGACCACCAUGUGCUACGUUUGAA